GAUGACGAUGAUGCGCAGCCUGGGACGUGGGGCCCCUCCCCCCGCUGGGCGAGCCCCGCCCUGCCCCCCUCUGCCCUCCCACAGUGCUUCCCCCAGGCGGGGCCCACGCAGGAGCCCAACCCCCACCUUGUCGGAGUGGGGGCCCUCCUCCUCCUCAUCGUCAUCGUCAUCAUCAGCCUCUACAAGGUUUCCCGCAGGAAGAAGCGGCUGGAGCAGGUGGGGGAGGGGCAGGAGCCGGACCCUCGGAGCGGGGGAGGGCAGGAAGUUUGACGCGGCCAUUUGAGAUAUUUAUAACAGCAAAUUUUUAAACGAAAAUAAAUUUUAUAUCAUUUAUUUCGGGGGGGGGGGGUGUCAGGGAGCGCGGCGGGUUCGAUUUUAUCUCCAAAUAAACCCCAAGUUGGAUUUUUAAUUAAUGAAAAUACCGGAUUAAUUAACCCCGUUAGAAUAUUCGGGAAAGGAUUUCAAACGAGUUUAGAUCGGCUCUGCCCCACGGCGCUGUGAGCCCCACGGCUCUGCCCCACGGCGGAGGGGAGGCCCGAGACCCGCAGCAGGAGCGCGUUGUAAUUUAAAAGCGGUUUCGGCAGAAUAAAAAAAUUUAUUUCAGAAAAAACGCCCUCGUUCUAGGGCCCGGAAACAUUAUCAUUAUCAUAUAUUAAUUUUAAUUAUCAAUUAAUUAAAGUUAAUUAAGAGAGGGCGACAUCGUCUCUCGGGCAGGCCCGUUUAGCUUUAAAAAGAACAAAAUAACGUCUUAAAAGAACCACAAAAUAAAAAAAAAAAAAAAAUUGGAAGGAAAAUUUACAACUUUUUUACGUUCCUGUUUAAGACACUUUAAUGUUUCUGAAAAUUAAAUGCAAAUGCAUAAAAAAAUAAGAAAAAAAAGAAAAAAUUAUGGUGAGAACGGGGUUCUUUAAAAGAGGGGAUGGAGCAGGUCUGCCGGGCUCGCCCCACGGAUGAACGGGAUUGUGAAAUUUCGGGAAUUUGGCUGGGGGGUGGCAAAAUUUCUGAAAUUUUUGGCUGGGGGGUGGCAAAAUUUCUGAAAUUUUUGGCUGGGGGGUGGCAAAAUUUCUGAAAUUUUUGGCUCGGGGUGGCAAAAUUUCUGAAACUUUUGGCUCGGGUGACGAAAUUUUUGGCUUGGAGGUGGCAAAAUUUCUGAAAUUCAGCUUGGGGUAGCGAAAUUUUUGGC